UACGUAGGGUCCAAGCGUUGUCCGGAAUUACUGGGCGUAAAGGGCGCGUAGGCGGCCCGUUUAGUCGGGUGUGAAAUCCCGGGGCUCAACCCCGGAACUGCCUUUGAUACUGGGUAUCUCGAGUCCGGAAGAGGUGAGUGGAAUUCCGAGUGUAGAGGUGAAAUUCGUAGAUAUUCGGAGGAACACCAGUGGCGAAGGCGGCUCACUGGUCCGGUACUGACGCUGAGGUGCGAAAGCGUGGGGAGCAAACAGG
rnacentral:rRNA from 1 species